rnacentral:rRNA from 1 species
GUCUACGGCCAUACCACCCUGAACGCGCCCAAUCUUGUCUGAUCUCGGAAGCUAAGCAGGGUCGGGCCUGGUUAGUACUUGGAUGGGAGACCAAGCUUUUUGAAUACAUAUAUGAUGUUGCUA